UACGUAGGGUGCGAGCGUUAAUCGGAAUUACUGGGCGUAAAGCGUGCGCAGGCGGAUUGUUAAGCAAGAUGUGAAAUCCCCGGGCUUAACCUGGGAAUGGCAUUUUGAACUGGCAGUCUAGAGUGCGUCAGAGGGGGGUGGAAUUCCACGUGUAGCAGUGAAAUGCGUAGAGAUGUGGAGGAACACCAAUGGCGAAGGCAGCCCCCUGGGAUGACACUGACGCUCAUGUACGAAAGCGUGGGUAGCAAACAGG
rnacentral:ncRNA from 2 species